rnacentral:rRNA from 1 species
GGGUUGUGAGGUUAAGCGACUAAGCGUACACGGUGGAUGCCCUGGCAGUCAGAGGCGAUGAAGGACGUGCUAAUCUGCGAUAAGCGUCGGUAAGGUGAUAUGAACCGUUAUAACCGGCGAUUUCCGAAUGGGGAAACCCAGUGUGAUUCGUCACACUAUCAUUAACUGAAUCCAUAGGUUAAUGAGGCGAACCGGGGGAACUGAAACAUCUAAGUACCCCGAGGAAAAGAAAUCAACCGAGAUUCCCCCAGUAGCGGCGAGCGAACGGGGAGCAGCCCAGAGCCUGAAUCAGUGUGUGUGUUAGUGGAAGCGUCUGGAAAGGCGCGCGAUACAGGGUGACAGCCCCGUACACAAAAAUGCACAUACUGUGAGCUCGAUGAGUAGGGCGGGACACGUGGUAUCCUGUCUGAAUAUGGGGGGACCAUCCUCCAAGGCUAAAUACUCCUGACUGACCGAUAGUGAACCAGUACCGUGAGGGAAAGGCGAAAAGA